CCUCAUUGUUUGUAAGUUUUAUUGUUGAAGAUUGAAGGCUAAACCUAAUGUAAAGAAAUGGAGGCACACUGAGAUCCAAUAUUAUGACAAAUUAAGUGAGAGUUUUGCAAAUGAUAGAGCUAAUCGUGAUGCUGCUGCUAGUGCAAAAUAGAAAGUUUGACAAUGGCAGAGGGAAACUAACUCCAACCAAUCUGUCAGUGUUGAACAGUUUGAUGAGCAAAUUAUAUAGGGGACAACCGUGGGAUGCUACAAGACUUCAUAUACACGGGGACAAGAACUUCAAUUAGCAUGUUACUGUAACUAGUUGCUAUUUUGUUGUAUUUAAACCU